rnacentral:rRNA from 1 species
ACGGGUGAGUAACGCGUGGGAACAUACCCUUUCCUGCGGAAUAGCUCCGGGAAACUGGAAUUAAUACCGCAUACGCCCUACGGGGGAAAGAUUUACCGGGGAAGGAUUGGCCCGCGUUGGAUUAGCUAGUUGGUGGGGUAAAGGCCUACCAAGGCGACGAUCCAUAGCUGGUCUGAGAGGAUGAUCAGCCACAUUGGGACUGAGACACGGCCCAAACUCCUGCGGGAGGCAGCAGUGGGGAAUAUUGGACAAUGGGCGCAAGCCUGAUCCAGCCAUGCCGCGUGAGUGAUGAAGGCCUUAGGGUUGUAAAGCUCUUUCACCGAUGAAGAUAAUGACGGUAGUCGGAGAAGAAGCCCCGGCUAACUUCGUGCCAGCAGCCGCGGUAAUACGAAGGGGGCUAGCGUUGUUCGGAAUUACUGGGCGUAAAGCGCACGUAGGCGGAUAUUUAAGUCAGGGGUGAAAUCCCGCAGCUCAACUGCGGAACUGCCUUUGAUACUGGGUAUCUUGAGUAUGGAAGAGGUAAGUGGAAUUCCGAGUGUAGAGGUGAAAUUCGUAGA